UACGUAGGGACCAAGCGUUGUUCGGAUUUACUGGGCGUAAAGGGCGCGUAGGCGGCAAAUUAAGUCAUCUGUGAAAUCUCCGAGCUUAACUCGGAACGGUCAGGUGAUACUGAUCUGCUAGAGUGCGGAAGGGGCAAUCGGAAUUCUUGGUGUAGCGGUGAAAUGCGUAGAUAUCAAGAGGAACACCUGAGGUGAAGACGGGUUGCUGGGCCGACACUGACGCUGACAGCGCGAAAGCCAGGGGAACAAACGGG
rnacentral:rRNA from 1 species